CCAGGGGGCCGGGCAGCCGCGGCAUUACGACGUCGAGGAAAGUCCGGGCUCCACGAAACGAGGGUGGCGGGUAACGCCCGCCAGAGGCAACUCUAGGGAAAGUGCCACAGAGAGCAUACCGCCGAUGGCCGGCUUCGCGCCGGCACAGGCAAGGGUGAAAGGGUGCGGUAAGAGCGCACCGGGGCUUCGGCAACGCGGCCCGCAUGGUAAACCCCACCCGGAGCAAGGCCGAAUAGGGGCGGCGCGCCGGCUCGUCCGGCAGGGGUGUUUCGCCCCUGGCUCGCGCUGCGACCGCCCGGGUUGGCUGCUUGAGCCGCGGAGCGAUCCGCGGCCCAGACGAAUGGCUGCCGCCGCAGAUACGGUCCGCCCGUCGGAUACCGUCUGCGGAUACAGAACCCGGCUUACAGGCCCCCUGGCACC
rnacentral:RNase_P_RNA from 1 species